rnacentral:rRNA from 1 species
GACGAACGCUGGCGGCGUGCUUAACACAUGCAAGUCGAACGGAAAGGCCCUGCUUUCGUGGGGUGCUCGAGUGGCGAACGGGUGAGUAACACGUGAGUAACCUGCCCUUGACUUUGGGAUAACUUCAGGAAACUGGGGCUAAUACCGGAUAGGAGCUCCUGCUGCAUGGUGGGGGUUGGAAAGUUUCGGCGGUUGGGGAUGGACUCGCGGCUUAUCAGCUUGUUGGUGGGGUAGUGGCUUACCAAGGCUUUGACGGGUAGCCGGCCUGAGAGGGUGACCGGCCACAUGGGGACUGAGAUACGGCCCAGACUCCUACGGGAGGCAGCAGUGGGGAAUAUUGCACAAUGGGCGGAAGCCUGAGGCAGCAACGCCGCGUGCGGGAUGACGGCCUUCGGGUUGUAAACCGCUUUCGCCUGUGACGAAGCGUGAGUGACGGUAAUGGGUAAAGAAGCACCGGCUAACUACGUG